ensembl:lncRNA
UUUGCAAGCAUUUUUGUGAGUGGGCUGCUCUGCAUCGUGGUGUGGAUCUCGUGGGAUGGACUGUGUUUUAUGAUGUUGUUUGUGGCUGUUUUGUUCCAGUGAACAGGCUGUGAGAAAGCUACUGAAGGAUCGUGAGCUUGCCUGCUGAAGAUCAGUUUGAGCGAGAAGCAGUGGAAACCGGUCAAAGCCGAGUUUGACCAGGUGUCUGCUGUACACUCAAACACCAAAGCCGAGCUGGACAGUCUAGAGCGCCAAACCUUUCUGGAGGAGCCGAAGAACACGACAAUUGAAAACUUAAAAGCAAAACUAAGUGACUUGCACACUGAACACAGAAACCUCUCUGCUGAUUUUGAGGAGAACAAGAAACACUAUCAGGAAUGUUUGAAUUCUGUGAAGGGGUUUGUCAAACACUAUGGCGUUCAAACAUGGCACAGCCACAGUAGUGAUGGGUAAUGUGCACAGGGAUAUAGCUUCCUGUGAACAGAGGAAGUCUCAUCACGCACAGAUUCACUCAGCACUGUUCACUCAACGCCAGGCUGUCAUGAAGGACACAGAGGGUAAUCUACAGGAAGCCCUAAAAGCCAAUCUGAAGUUAUCUCAAGAGUACAGAGAGCUGCAGAAAGCUCUGAUGAUUGCCAGUCAAGAAGCCGUUUGUGUUUUUACAUAAGAAACAGAGCAGAGGCCUUCAUCCAAGAUCACAAGCAGCUUUCUUUGUUGCAGAAGAGGAUGCACAAAGCCAUGCUAAAAUACUUCAAACACCGCAGCGUCUACAGCCAGGCAGAGCUGGCCCGCUUCCAGACCCUCUCCAACCAGAACAACCAGAAAAUGAAAGCCCUCCAGGUAUGGGCUCUUUAGUACCCCCACAAACACACACACACACAAAACACUAUUUGUAAGUAUCACACUUUAUACUACAAUGGGUCCCACUCUGGUUAAUGCUUGUUGAGGUUAAGAUGGUUAACCUUUAAGGAAUAUUUCACCUAAAAAUGAAAAUUUGGUCAUUAUUUACUCACUCUUUCCAUGAAACACAGAUGGAGAGUGUGCUCCUUGUGCCAUAAAUUGAAAGUGAAUAGUGACCAUGGCUGUCAAGUACACUUUCAGUGAAUAAUGACACAUUUCAGUCUGUGACUCAUACAAAGCUAUUCUACAAAUUCAGAUAUGAAAUACUGUGCACAUGGACUACUUUUAUGAUGCUUUUAUGGCUUUUGUGGAACUUGACAGCAGAUGGCCACCAUCUACUUUCAUUAUGUGGGAGCGAGAACAGUGUGAACAUUUUAAAAAACAUUUCCUUUUGUGUUCCACGAAAGUAAGGAUGUCAUAUGGGUUGAAGUAGAAUUUGAAUUGAUAUAUCGAAAGACAUUUCUGAGAUUUUGAGCCAUUUUGAGAUUAUCAUAAAGGUGGCUUGGACAGAAGCAUUAGGACUCCAAAAAUCUAGCCUAGUCAAUAGAUCAUUUAUUUUGAAAUAUCAAAUGUUUUCAGUGAAUAUCACGUAAAUAUUGUGUUAAAAUCUUUGUUUAAUUUCAGCAUAUAUGUGUACAUCUCAUUUAGCUCUCAUCACGGACAUCUGGCCAUUAUAUCACCCACCCCACUCUCUAAAUAUCAUUUAGCUACAUUGGCUAAUGCCUCAAAAAAAGGUAAUAUUAUAAUACAGCAUUAAAAAAUAAAAUUGCAUUCAUGAACUGUCA